rnacentral:rRNA from 1 species
GGGGUAACGGCUCACCAAGGCCACGAUCCGUAUCUGGUUUGAGAGGACGACCAACCUCCUGGGACUGAGACACGGCCCCGACUCCUACUCCAGGCAGCGGGGGGAAUUUUGGACUAUGGGGGUAACCCUGAUCCUGCCAUCCCGCUAGCGCGAUGAAGGCCUUCGGCUUGUAAAGCACUUUUGCUUUUAAAGAAACGUCGCGCCUUAAUACCCCGCCCAACUGACGGUACCUGCACAAUAAGCACCGGCUACCUACAUGUCCGCAGCCGCGGCCAUACGUAUGCUGCAAGCGUUAAUCGGAAUUACUGUUAGUGAAGCGUGCGCAGGCGGUUCGGAAAGAAAGAUGUGAAAUCCCAGAGCUUAACUUUGGAACUGCAUUUUUAACUACCGGGCUAGAGUGUGUCAGAGGGAGGUGGAAUUCCGCGUGUAGCAGUGAAAUGCGUAGAUAUGCGGAGGAACACCGAUGGCGAAGGCAGCCUCCUGGGAUAACACUGACGCUCAUGCACGAAAGCGUGGGGAGCAAACAGGAUUAGAUACCCUGGUAGUCCACGCCCUAAACGAUGUCAACUAGCUGUUGGGGCCUUCGGGCCUUGGUAGCGCAGCUAACGCGUGAAGUUGACCGCCUGGGGAGUACGGUCGCAAGAUUCAAACUCAAAGGAAUUGGCGGGGACCCGCACAAGCGGUGGAUGAUGUGGAUUAAUUCGAUGCAACGCGAAAACCCUUCCCUACCCUUGACAUGUCUGGAAUCAUGAAGAGAUUUAGGAGUGCUCGCAAGAGAACCGGAACACCGGUGCUGCAUGCCGGUCGUCAGCUCGUGUCGUGAGAUGUUGGGUUAAGUCCCGCAACGAGCGCACCCCUUGUCACUAGUUGUUACGAAAGGGCAUUUUAAGGAGACUGCCGGUGCCAAACCGGAGGAAGGGGGGGAUGAGGUCAAGUCUUCAUGGCCCUUAGGGGUAGGGCUUCACACGUCAUACAAUGGUCGGGACAGAGGGUCGACAACCCGCGAGGGGGAGCCAAUCCCAGAAACCCGAUUGUAGUCCGGAUCGCAGUCUGCAACUCGAUUGCGUGAAGUCGGAAUCGCUAGUAAUCGCGGAUCAGCAUGUCGCGGUGAAUACGUUCCCGGGCCUGUACACACCGCCCGUCACACCAUGGGAAGUGGGUUGCACCAGAAGUAGUGAGCCUAACCGCAAGGAGGGCGAUUACCACGGUAGAUCAUAAG